GAUGAACGCUGGCGGCGUGCCUAAUACAUGCAAGUCGAGCGAACAGACGAGGAGCUUGCUCCUCUGACGUUAGCGGCGGACGGGUGAGUAACACGUGGAUAACCUACCUAUAAGACUGGGAUAACUUCGGGAAACCGGAGCUAAUACCGGAUAAUAUAUUGAACCGCAUGGUUCAAUAGCGAAAGACGGUUUUGCUGUCACUUAUAGAUGGAUCCGCGCCGCAUUAGCUAGUUGGUAAGGUAACGGCUUACCAAGGCAACGAUGCGUAGCCGACCUGAGGGGGUGAUCGGCCACACUGGAACUGAGACACGGUCCAGACCCCUACGGGAGGCAGCAGUAGGGAAUCUUCCGCAAUGGGCGAAAGCCUGACGGAGCAACGCCGCGUGAGUGAUGAAGGUCUUCGGAUCGUAAAACUCUGUUAUUAGGGAAGAACAAAUGUGUAAGUAACUAUGCACGUCUUGACGGUACCUAAUCAGAAAGCCACGGCUAACUACGUG
rnacentral:rRNA from 1 species